rnacentral:misc_RNA from 1 species
GAAAUGCGAUAACUAAUGUGAAUUGCAGAAUUCAGUGAAUCAUCGAGUCUUUGAACGCACAUUGCGCCUCCUGGUAUUCCGGGAGGCAUGCCUGUUCGAGCGUCAUUAAAAUCACUCAAGCUUAGGUUUACCUAUUGCUUGGUCUUGGAGAUGGAAGCCAAUUUAUUGGAAUCCUCUUCGAAAUUCAAUGGCGAAGACCCUUGCUCUCCCAAGUGUAGUAAUAACUUAUGUCACUGAAGGAAGCGAGAAAUCUUCUGCCGUAACCCCCAUAUUUUCUAUGAUUGACCUCGGAUCAGGUAGGGAUACCCGCUGAACUUAA